UAGAUAAAUGAUGGCCACUAGUGGCUUAGGAAUCACAGAUGACGAAUACUUCGUGUCUGGAGCUCUGAGGUCCAG